AUGCUCGCUUCGCAGCACAUAUACUAAACUUGGAACGAUACAGAGUAGAUUAGCAUGGCCCCUGCGCAAGGACGACAUGCAAAUUCCUGAAGCGUUCCAUAUCUUU